CGGGACCCGGCGGAGGAAGGGAAGGCCUGGCUGUCCAGCGGAAUCCGCCUGGACGCACGGAACUCGCGGACCCGACCGGAGCAGCUCUUCGGGCCCUGGCGUGAACCCUUCUCCCAGAGGCACAUGCCCAGAACCCAGCAAUGGCCAAUGGGACCUUGAUGGCCGAGGGCCAGGUGAGUCUGGGCUUCCUCUUCCCCAGGAUAACUUUGUGGACUCCAGUGGGCCCUCUUCAUCCCUGUGCAUGAUCUCAAGGUCUCCUGACUCUUCCAAUACUGGGAAAGGGGGUAUGAGGAGAGGGGAGCCGGGCAGUGCCCAGGGGCAGGAGGCAGAGGCAGAAUGCUCUGAGCUGGGACCAUGUCGCGCAGUCUAAACAUUUUUCAUCGAACACUGCAGCCUUUCAGUUACCAGGCAAAGUGGGCAAUGGAUGGUUUUGCUUCAUCCCUGAGCCUCAUCUCUGGAGUCAGGAAUGGGGGUGAGGAUCAGGGAUGGGGUCUGGGAUAGAAUGGGACUUGCGAAUAUCUCCUGCACAAAACGGCUUGACGGAUUUUUCUUUAAGUGUUUCUUAGGCUGAGCGCGGUGGCUCAUGCCUGUAAUCCCAGCACUUUGGGAGGCUGAGGCAGGCGGAUCACGAGGUCAGAUCGAGACCAUCCUGGCUAAUACGUUGAAACCCCG
rnacentral:lncRNA from 1 species